ensembl:lincRNA 1700014F14Rik RIKEN cDNA 1700014F14 gene
GUCAGUUGCUGGCUGAACCUAAGAAGGAACAGCCACAUCAGGUUCCUAUCAGCAAGCACCUCUUAGCAACAGCAAGCCACAAAUAAUGUCCUGGGACCAGCUACUUCAAGAUUAUGUUGUCUCAGCUCUCCUGCAAUGGUUGACACUGAAUUGGGAGCUAAAAUAAAUUUAUCUUUCCUUAAAUGAUUUGUCUAAGC